rnacentral:rRNA from 1 species
GUGGGUAUCGAGUAACACUCAUCAACCCUGUGACAUACCUAUAACGUUGCCUCGGCGGGAACAGACGGCCCCGUAACACGGGCCGCCCCCGCCAGAGGACCCCCUAACUCUGUUUCUAUAAUGUUUCUUCUGAGUAAACAAGCAAAUAAAUUAAAACUUUCAACAACGGAUCUCUUGGCUCUGGCAUCGAUGAAGAACGCAGCGAAAUGCGAUAAGUAAUGUGAAUUGCAGAAUUCAGUGAAUCAUCGAAUCUUUGAACGCACAUUGCGCCCGCCAGUAUUCUGGCGGGCAUGCCUGUUCGAGCGUCAUUACAACCCUCAGGCCCCCGGGCCUGGCGUUGGGGAUCGGCGGAAGCCCCCUGCGGGCACAACGCCGUCCCCCAAAUACAGUGGCGGUCCCGCCGCAGCUUCCAUUGCGUAGUAGCUAACACCUCGCAACUGGAGAGCGGCGCGGCCACGCCGUAAAACACCCAACUUCUGAAUGUUGACCUCGAAUCAGGUAGGAAUACCCGCUGAACUUAAGCAUAUCAAAGGGGGAGAGAA